GGGAAAAGGAAGUGUGCUUCACCAUUUAGGGUCCCUGCGCCCUGUUCCUUCGCGGUCCCUCAAGGCUGUGCAACUUCAGGUGAAGCUGAGCCUGUGAGUUUCUGGAGACCUGGAGAAGCAGUCUGAACGUCCAGUGCCAGACUAGACAGGCUGAUUUUGGGCUGUUCCCUUUUGCACCUUGCAGUCCCUUGUGGAAGAUGAUGUCUUGGGCUGCCGCCAGCCUUAGAGAGACUGCUGCCAGAAGCUUUCGUGCGCGAUGCCUCGGGUUCCGCGUGGGUCCUUGGUGCGUCUCCCAGCAUGAAAACCCCGGCUGUGGUGCAGCUCCACACAGGACGCUGCAUGUCAGCGCGACGGCCUCGGCGGGACACAAUAAAUGGUCUAAAGUCCGGCACAUCAAGGGCCCCAAGGACAUGGAAAGGAGUCGGAUCUUCUCUAAACUCACUCUCAGUAUCCGCCUGGCGGUUAAAGAGGGAGGCCCUAACCCUGAGAACAACAGCAGCCUGGCCAACAUCUUAGAGGUGUGUCGCAGCAAGAAUAUGCCCAAGUCAACCAUCGAAUCAGCACUGAAGACAGAGAAAAACAAGGGCAUUUAUUUGCUGUAUGAGGGUCGAGGCCCUGGAGGCUCUUCUCUGCUCAUUGAGGCAUUAUCAAACAGUGGUUCCAAGUGCCAUCUGGACAUUAAAUAUAUCCUGAACAAGAAUGGGGGAGUGAUGGCUGAAGGAGCACGUCACUUUUUUGACAAAAAAGGAGUGGUUGUGGUUGGAGUGGAGGAUAGAGAGAAGAAAGCUGUGAACCUAGAACGUGCCCUGGAAGUGGCCAUCGAAGCAGGAGCCGAGGAUGUGAAGGAAGCAGAAGACGAGGAAGAAAAGAACCUUUUUAAAUUCAUUUGUGAAGCUUCUUCACUACAUCAAGUGAGGAAAAAACUGGACUCCCUGGGCCUGUGUCCUGUGUCCUGUUCGCUGGAGUUCAUCCCUCACUCCAAGGUGCAGCUGGCUGAGCCUGAGCUGGAGCAGGCUGUUCACCUCAUCCAGGCUCUUAACAACUAUGAGGAUGUGAUUCACGUGUAUGACAAUAUUGAAUAAGCAGACGCGACUAGAGGUGUCUCCAGGCUCUUUCCUAGGCCAGCGUGAGCUUCUACAGCAAGCUCGGAGACCAAAACAGGGAAGAAAGCUUAAGAGUUCUCUUUAUUAUUUCUGCUUUGAAAUUUCACUUGAAGAUCAUGAAGUGGAUGUUUAGGACUCUCAGAUCAAUAAUAAAAAAUUGGGAAUGAGAAGACAAAGGUCCGGCCCUUCACUGGAAACAGUUACCUUUCUAAGCAUACUUUAUAUCAGGCUGGCUAUGGCGGCACACACCUGUAACAUAAGUGCAGGAGGAGGACUAUUGAGAGUUUAAGGCUAGCCUGGUCUACAUAUGGAGUUCCAGGCCAGCCAGGGCUACAUAGUAAGACUGUGCCUCAACAAAACAAAAGUCAAACAAAAAAUUUUAUGUCAUAAAAUGUUUACAAUGUGCUUAGCGUGUGUGAGAUCCCCUGAGUGCCUGUGCUGGUGUAUGUACUGGAUACAGCACAACUUAAGUUUUGAAAUAGUUAUUCAACAAUAUAUCCUUAUUAGUUCUUUUCUUUCUUCCUUUCUUUCUUCCUUUCUUUGUUUCCUCCUUUCUUUGUUCCCUUGUUUCUUUCUUUCUUCCUUCCUUUUUUUUUUUUUGUUUUUUGCCCCCUUUGAAAUAAAGUCUCAUGUAAUCUAGGUUAGCUUCAGAUUUGUUAUGUGGCUUUCCUGGUCCUCUUCCUUUUACCUUCCAAGAGCUUACACAGCAUUUGGUUGGUUUUUGUUUUAUGGCUUAAGAGGAAAUUUGUUGGAAUUUCAGAAAUUGCAACUAUAGAGUGAUGAUAUCACUGAUUUUUUUUUGCUUUGUUUUGGAGUUCUAUUUUAUUUUAAUUAAUGAGCUAGCCUUACUCUGUAGCCCAGGCUGGCCUGAAGCUUUCUGUAGGCCUUGAACUCAGCCAUUCUCCUGCUUUACCCUCUCUUGAAAUUACGAUAGCUGUAGCUCACCAUGCCUGCUAGUGUUACUGAGUUUUUCUUUCUAGAAUCAUGUUAUUUUUAUUGGGGAAGUUUUUGUUUAUUUUUUUUUUCAGUGGUAGGGAUCCGACCCAGGGUCUCAUAGUCAUGAGGCUCUGCUACUGAGCUACAUCCUUGGCCCAAGGGGAGAAAUAAGAAAUAAACUAACAAAUACAUGCUGGGUGUGGCCCUGUAUACCAGUUAUUCCAUUUCAGAGGCUAGACAGAGUUAAGACAAGAUGGUUUUGACUUUGAGGUUAGAAAACAAAUCCAUUAACCAAAGCUAAAGCCAAAAACUAAAAAAUCUUACUCAUAUUAUUGCCCAACUAGGAGACUGACAACAUUUGGAAGUCUGGGUAUAGUUUGUGUGUGUGUGUGUGUGUGUGUGUGUGUGUGUGUGUGUUUUAAACAACAACAACAAAAACACCAACAACCAGGGUCUUGCUGUAUGGCCCUAGUUAUGGAGAACAUACUGGGCUUGAACUUCCUCCUGCUUCUGUAUCUGUGCUGACUGCAUGUGUGAGCCACCACGCCUGGCUCUGACGAACCUUUAAGUCAGAAAAAUGGGGCUUGGAUGACUUACGUCAUCUUAUCGUUGAUCAUUGUCUUAGUAAUACAAAGUUAUUCACUGCCUUGAAGCCACACUAGGGUUAUAUCUACGUGUCCUUCUGGUAAGAUGGAAAUAUUUGUGACAGGCUCUGUCACAACUUUGACUAGUAUGUGUGUAUAUGUUAGGAUUAAACCUAACCUAAGAUUUUGCUAAGCAAAGGCUAUAGAUACCACCUAGCUAUAUCUCCAGCCCCAUUUUUGUUUUUUGAGACAGGGUAUCGCUGAGUUGCCCACACUGGCAUUGAAUUUGUGAUCCUGCUCCCCCAGCCUCCUGAGUGGAUAGGAUUAUAGCCUGUGCUAGCAAGCCUGGUUUACACCGACUCUCACCAGAACUGCUGCUGUGGGGCUGUGGAUAUAGUUCAAGGACACCUGAAGCCUUGGACAUGAUCCCUAGCAUCAUGUGAACUGAACAUGGUGAAGCAUGCCUAUAAUCUUAGCACUUGGGAGGGGGAAAUGUAGAGCAGCAUUCUUGUGUGCAAGAGGUCUGGUGUACUCAGAAGAACAGGGAAGGCUCUGCUUCCAGCAACUAUGGAAAUACUACAAUGCUGUUGGAUUACUUUAAAAAAAAAAAAAAAAGUAAGUGUGUGUGUGUGUGUGUGUGUGUGUGUGUGUGUGUGUCUCACCAACCAGCCAGCAGAUAGUUUUCUAUGUCGUCUUCAGGAAUACCAUGCUCCUUUGAAACAGAAGCUCUCAUUUUUCUGGAGUUGAACAGUUAGUUUAGACUGGCUGGUAAGUGAACUCCAGGGCCCUCUUGUUUCACCCUUCCCAGUGCUAAGGUAUAAGAGCAUGGCACCCUGCCUGGUGUUUUGCUUGGGUUCUGGAGAUUAAACUCAGGUUCCUGGGCUUGCAAGGCAAGCACUUACUUCCUGACUGACCUUUCUCGCUAUCCCAAGUUAUUUUUCUUUGAAUUUUAUAUCAAAGCAUACAAUGAAGCUUCAAACUCCAGGAGGUUCUGACUCCUAGGUCUUCUUUUGAGUUCUUAUGGACUCCUCUGUAGAUGUUCUCGGAAAAGAGAGAGUCAGUGGGCCCGGCAGAAGUGAGUGCUGUGAUAAAUACCACACUAGCUUGACAUCAUUCUGUCUAGCCGCUGAAUGAGGAGGCAGCACUUUUAACUUUCUGACUGUAUUCUUUCUUGUAUCUUUUGCGUAUGAUAAAACAUUAUCAUUAUUCAUUUUAAAAUCUUAUUCUACUUUGUGUGUGUGAGGUGCCCAAGGAACCAGAAGAGUUUCUCAUUACUCCCUUGAAGGAAGAGGUUCAGGUGGUUUGUGGGCCGUGCCCAGUGUGCAUUCAGGAAACCAGUCUCUGGUUCUCUACAAGAGCAGCAAAUACUCUUACCUGAAAACAUCUCUCGAGCUCCCUACUUGUUUUUUUAAGUUAGUAACUGGGAAUGGUGGUCUGUGUCUACAGUCUGAGCACUGGGAAGACUGAGGCAGGAACAGCCCCUGAAUUUGAAGCCAGUCUGCUCUAGGAUACAAAUUCUGGCUCUGCCAUUCUUGAACAAGAAUUUAACCUCUUUAAUGCUGGACUGUUCCCACAUGGAGGUGUUAAUAGUACCUGACUUGUAGGGUACUUAAACUGCUGUUUGGCAAUAGGAAGUGCUCAGUGCAGGAGAGAUGGCUCAGUGGGUGUAAGGACCUGAGUUUGAAUCUCCAGAACCCAGGUGAAACCCUAACUGGUAGCAUCCGUCUGUAAUCCCAGUGCUUCUACAGAAAGAUGGGAGAGAGAGACAGGAGAAUCCCUAGAAGCUUACGGCCAGCUAUCCUGGAGUAUACAUACAGUAGUACACAAAAAAGAUCCUGCCUCAGGGGCUGGUGAGAUGGCUCAGCGGGUAAGAGCACCAUCUGCUCUUCCAAAGGUCAUGAGUUCAAAUCCCAGCAACCACAUGGUGGCUUACAACCACCCGUAAUAAGAUCUGACACCCUCUUCUGGUGUGUCUGAAGAUAGCUACAGUGUACUUAUGUAUAAUAAUGAAUAAAUCUUAAAAAAAAAAGAUCCUGCCUCAGUCAAGAUAGAACCCAAGGUCAUCUCACAUCUCUACACAAAUGCAUAUAUAUACACAAACUACCCCCCACCCACACACCACACAGGUAAAACACCCCCUGGCUUCCUCAGGCUCCUGAAUUCAUACAUAUAUUCCCCUCAUCCUACAUACAUAUAAAUUAUUAAAAAUAAUAAAAAUAAAGCUUUCAUAUUAUGUUACCCUAUAUAAUCUGGCUUCACUACACAUAAGUGCACACAUACACACAUACACACAUACAUACACAUACACACACAUACACACACAUACACACACGUCACAGAGUAUCUUGGAUCUUUUUGGUGUUUGUAGAAGAAAGCUAUUCUUGUUUGUGGGUACUUACUAUUUUAUUAUAUUAUUGUAUCUUACUAUAUCAUAAUUUGUUUAACCGUUCUGUCAGUGGCUAUUUGGAUGUCUACUUAGAAAAGAGAUUACAAUGAAUUUUCUUUAUCUUCCCUUACUUGCAAAAUACUCUUUGGGAUAAAUUUAUACCAGCAUGACUUUAAAAUGAAUACUACUUUUUUUUUUUUGCUUUUUUGAGACAGGGUUUCUCUAUGUAGCCCUGGUUGUCCUGCAACUCACUCUGUAAACCAGGCUGGCCUCGAACUCAGAAAUUCUCCUGCCUCUGCCUCCCAAGUGCUAGGAUUAUAGGUGUGCGCCACCACUACCGGGCAUGAAUACUACUUUAAUUAGAAGAAAAUACCAAUAAUUUUUAAGAAAUCAAGUUUGAAAGAAUCUUCUAUGAGAUAUGCAUAUUAUUCUUUGAUGACACGGUACAUUAAUUGGUUCAGCAGAUAAUCUAAAAUGUACCCUGCUUUAUCUCUAAAUUAAAAGAAUUUUCAUGAAACAGG